UGCAGAAUCCCGUGAACCAUCGAGUCUUUGAACGCAAGUUGCGCCCGAUGCCAUUAGGUUGAGGGCACGUCUGCCUGGGUGUCACAUAUCGAAGCCUCCUGCCAAUUUCCCUUUGAUUAUUGUGCAGGGUGGAUGUUGGCCUCCCGUGAACUCUUUUUGGUCAUGGUUGGUUGAAAAUUGAGACCUUGGUAGGGUGUGCCAUGAUAGAUGGUGGUUGUGUGAUCCACGAGACCAAUCAUGUGCUGCUCUAUUGAAUAUGGCCUCUUUUACCCAUAUGCGUUUCUAAACGCUCGUGAUGAGACCUCAGGUCAGGCGGGGCUACCCGCUGAAUUUAAGCAUAUCAAUAAGCGGAGGAAAAGAAACUAACAAGGAUUCCCUUAGUAACGGCGAGCGAACCGGGAUAAGCCCACCAUGAGAAUCGGUCGCCCUCGGCGUUCGA
rnacentral:misc_RNA from 1 species